GGUGCCAUGGACAAGUCUGAGGCAUCCCUGCCAUGGUAGGGGGGUGUAACUAGAUGAUCUUAAGGUCCUUUUCCAACUCAAACCAUUCUAUGAUUCUAUGAUUCAUUGGA